rnacentral:piRNA from 1 species
UGAGUUGUGAAAGUGAGGACAAUCUCAGUGU